UGAGUAACACGUGAGUAACCUGCCCUUGACUCUGGGAUAAGCCUGGGAAACUGGGUCUAAUACCGGAUAUGACUGCUCCGCGCAUGCGGUGGUGGUGGAAAGCUUUUGCGGUUUUGGAUGGACUCGCGGCCUAUCAGCUUGUUGGUGGGGUAAUGGCCUACCAAGGCGACGACGGGUAGCCGGCCUGAGAGGGUGACCGGCCACACUGGGACUGAGACACGGCCCAGACUCCUACGGGAGGCAGCAGUGGGGAAUAUUGCACAAUGGGCGAAAGCCUGAUGCAGCGACGCCGCGUGAGGGAUGACGGCCUUCGGGUUGUAAACCUCUUUCAGUAGGGAAGAAGCUUUCGGGUGACGGUACCUGCAGAAGAAGCGCCGGCUAACUACGUGCCAGCAGCCGCGGUAAUACGUAGGGCGCAAGCGUUAUCCGGAAUUAUUGGGCGUAAAGAGCUCGUAGGCGGUUUGUCGCGUCUGCUGUGAAAGACCGGGGCUCAACUCCGGUUCUGCAGUGGGUACGGGCAGACUAGAGUGAUGUAGGGGAGACUGGAAUUCCUGGUGUAGCGGUGAAAUGCGCAGAUAUCAGGAGGAACACCGAUGGCGAAGGCAGGUCUCUGGGCAUUAACUGACGCUGAGGAGCGAAAGCAUGGGGAGCGAACAGGAUUAGAUACCCUGGUAGUCCAUGCCGUAAACGUUGGGCACUAGGUGUGGGGGACAUUCCACGUUUUCCGCGCCGUAGCUAACGCAUUAAGUGCCCCGCCUGGGGAGUACGGCCGCAAGGCUAAAACUCAAAGGAAUUGACGGGGGCCCGCACAA
rnacentral:rRNA from 1 species